AUACGGAGGGUGCAAGCGUUGUUCGGAUUCAUUGGGUUUAAAGGGUACGUAGGCGGAUAGAUAAGUUAGUGGUGAAAUCCCGAAGCUCAACUUCGGAACUGCCAUUAAAACUGUCUAUCUUGAAUUUGGUUGAAGUGGGCGGAAUAUGACAUGUAGCGGUGAAAUGCAUAGAUAUGUCAUGGAACACCGAUAGUGAAGACAGCUCACUAAGCCAAUAUUGACGCUGAGGUACGAAAGCAUGGGUAGCGAACAGGAUUAGAAACCCCAGUAGUCC
rnacentral:rRNA from 1 species